GGAUGCGAUCAUACCAGCACUAAAGCAACGGAUCCCAUCAGAACUCCGAAGUUAAGCGUGCUUGGGCGAGAGUAGUACUAGGAUGGGUGACCUCCUGGGAAGUCCUCGUGUUGCAUUCC
rnacentral:rRNA from 1 species